AGUACAGGAGACUCGGCUGAGGUACCCAGAUUCUGACAGACAACUUUGAAUGUCUGUUUGCUUUUAAAAACUUCACUUACAAACAGAGCAUUGUUGUUUGUCUCUGCAAAAUGCCAAGUGAGCAGGGGGUGGGGUUAAUAGGUUUGAUACAGUCAGAUCCCAGAAAUUUGAUUAUUCUAAUUUAAGGAUGGCAGCUGUGUGGCAUACGUGCUGCUCUGUACCCACGGCAGACAUCACUAAUGGAUCACAGUGCUCUUUCUUGCUGGACCCAGAUAUGAGUUAAUUAGUGCUUCUCAACACCUGGCUCCAAUCAACUGUGGGUGGCAUGUAUGUGCAAAACAAUUAGCUAGUCCUGUUCUGGUUGGUUUCAUUUACUUCAAUUUCUUAGCUUUAUGCAACUAUGCAAUGGACAGUUGACUAAAUAUCAUUAUUUUAGCAACAUUCCAUUCUCAGCGAAUCCCUUUACUAAUCUAAUUACAAAUAAUAUUAGAUGUUAUCUACUGCAUGUAUAUUUGCUAUGUGCCAGAUGCUGUUAGAUGUUAAGUGCCAACUCAUGUCUCUGUGUCCCUACAAAAAUCCUAAAGCAGGGAAGGGUAGCUUGAAUCUGAUCUAUACUGCAGCUCCUAGCAACUUGCCCUGGUGACUCCCAGGCUGAAUUAGUGACCUCCCUUUGGCCUCCUACAGUGCCACCAUUACACUGAAUUCAUUGUACUACAAUGGCAAAUUCAGGCACCUGUCUUCCCUGUUGAACUCUGUGCAGGCAAGACCUCCAGUUUACCUUUGGAUACCCAGCACCUGGAACACAGCAGAGUACCGAGUGUGUGUUCAGUAAAUAUGUUGAAAGAAUUUUUCUUAAAACUUCUGUUUUCAAAUACUCUCAGAGCUCUAAUUCAUGUUCUACAACGAAUAGAUGAUCCAUGACCCCAGCUACCAUCGAGGUCACUUACAUUGUAAAGCAAGGUGUGCUGGUCAGGCAAGCCAGCUCUGAGCCUGGGCCCAGGGCAGCCCCCAGUGGGGGGCGCAACUGUGCUCUGGGCCCCCACCUCCUCUGAGUGGAGAAAGUGCCAGGCUCACUCACAGCUGUUUUCUGCCUUUGUGCCCCAUUGCUUUUUGCUUUUUUUUUGAUCCUCUUCUCUGCCUGCUGCACUGGGCUUGUUCUCUUAAGUUCUAGAAUCCUAGCACUUAGCCCACUGUUUGGGCAGUGGUGAAUAAAGCUUCUUUGAAGGGAUCUGCAGUAAAAAGAGCACUGGGGAAGUCGGGAGAGCAGAGUUCUGUCUCCAGAAGUGCCAGAAGUCUCUUGUGGACUUGCAUUCUGUGGUUGUUCCUGUCCUUGUUAAUGGGCGAAUGCCCCCCAGGGACAGGUGGUGCGCACUGAGUGUGAUGGUCUAUGUAAGCCUCUGCCAAGCUAACAGCAGGCUAUCACUUCUCCUUUUUGUGAGGCUGCCCCUACCUGGCUGGUGCUGUCACUUGAGCAUGUCCACACCCUCGUCGGUGGUCUCAUGCUCCCUACCACUAGACUGCCCAAAGCCCAUUUCACCGCCACUACGAGAAGCUGCAGUGUCCUGCCUGUGCCCACAGAGGUGUGACCUUUCUAAUGUUGCCCAUAGCAUUUCCUUGUCUCCAUGUCUCCUCACCACCUCUCUGUGCAAAUUCGUAGGAGGUUCAAGUGUAACCUCCCAGCCUAGCCCCCAGGCCCUGCAUGCUUACUCCAGUUUGUUUCUGACCCACCCGCCUCCCACGCCUCCCUCCAGUCAUACAGGCACUCAGCAUUCCCGUCCCCACCGCAAACCUCCACCUACUGCUGAGGGCUCCAGCUCAGGGAGAGGCAUCACCAUCCUCCGGCAGCUGCCCCAGCCAGACACCCUGGAGUCACACUGGACUGCCCCUCCCCCCUCCGCACCUUCGCUGUUCUUCUCCUAGUCCUGCUCACUCUAGCUCUGCAAUAUUUCUCAAAUUAGAGUAUUUUUAUCCCCAUGGCCAACACCCUGUCAGGAUGAGGAGCAGCUCCCUGCUGGAUUAAUGUAAUACAGCGACAGCUUCCUGGCCUCUCAACCUUCCAUCAGAACCCUGCCAAUCCAUUUUUCACAGCUGGAGUAUUCUUCCUGAAAGAAAACUCUGAUUGUGUCUCUCCUUUUUAGGCUUCAUCUACACCUCAGAUGUCACCUCCUCUAGGAAGCCUUCCUGAAAUUCUGCCAUAGCACCUGUUUCUUCGUUAGAACAAUGAGCAGCUUGUAGGCCCUCCCCAUUAGAAGCCAGCUCUCCGAGGGCCCGCCUGAUCUGUGUGAGAUUUUUUAUGAUUCCCUCUAUACCAGGCACUUUAAGCUGCUACUCAUUAGCCAUAUCCCCCUUCCUUUCCGCUGAGAACAAGUGUACUCUUGCCUCGUGUGACAAGGGUAGAUCCGGAUUGGUCUAGGCCACAAAAACAACCUCAUUCCAUUCAUUAGGGACAUGUCCUGGUUCUGGUUAAUGAAACAGGAGAAGUGUGCAGGGGGAUUUCAAAAGUUCUCUUCAUUGUUAUAGAGAGAUGCAGAGGGAGCAGUUCUGCAUCCCUGGCAUUGAUAAGAGAAGGUGGGUUGCCUGUUCUGCACCUAUGAGGAGAGCUAGCUGAUGCUCUGAUGAUGACGUGACAGAUGGAACAAACUUGGUACUGAUGAACUGCUACACUGGUUAACUGGGGACGGUCUCCAUCUGAACUUCUUCUCAGGUGAGAGAAUAAUCCCCUUUUGGUUUAGGCCAUUUUGAGUUGGGUUUGCUGAUAUUUGUAGUCCAAAUAGAUACAUCUUCUCAGGAAAUUUUUUUUUUUUAUUUUCUAUUUUGUCUCAGAGGUACUUAGGUAUAAAUCUUGUUUCUUCUGUUAGGUUAUGGGCUUUCUGAGGCAGAGUCUGCAUUUGAUGUGCCCUUGUGUCCCUAAAGGCAGGAUGAAGUACUGAGUGAAGAGCCAACACUGUCUUCUGGCCCCAUCCUGCAAGGUCCACUACCCUAAAGGUGGGUCCGGCCUUCCUUAGAGGCUGACUGUCAUUUGUUUAUUUUUGUGCUUUUUAAAUGUUCGACAAAGGAAGAAACAUGAGCAAAAUAUAAAAGCCUUAUGGUCAACUCUAGGAGGCAAAACCUGUCUUACCCAUCCUUAUCCACCUCCUAGUACUGAGCACAAGGUUUGUGCAAAGUAGAUACACAAAAUGUUCGCUGAGUGAACAAUUUAAUUGACCUCUGAUGACUCAAGGGCACGUAGGAACUUUACAGUGUCCUAGGGUCAUAAUGAUGAACAGUCAUUGUCAACAAACUGUGCUAAAUAUAUCCUGGUCCCCGGACUCAUGACUGGCAAACUUAUGUUUGUUUACAUGACAGCCUUGAUAUCAUCAGGACUCUAAGGCUUUAAAAGAAGAACAUGCAGAGCUCGGCACUAUAGACUGAGGUGAAAACUGAUGUCUGAGCUGCAGAGGUGCCUGGUGAAUGUGCACUAAAUGCCCAUCUGCUUUGUGCCAGGCAUGGGACCACAAGCAGGUAAGACAGACUCAUUGUUCUCAAGGAGCUUAACAUCUGGGGAGGUACAGUGGGGGACAGGCACUUCAAAACAGUGUGGCAAAUGUUGUAAGAGGUAAGGGAGAGGGUGCAAUAUGCAGUCCAGGCCACGCCUGAUGAGUCAGGAAGACCUCCCAGAGGAACAUCUAUGUGGCACCUGAAUCCAGAGGACAGAUUAGUUAUUCAGAGGGGGACAAAGAAAGAAGGAAAAAGGAGUAGCAUGGGCAGGCUUGCAGUUUAUAAAAACCCACUCUGGUUGCAUUAUGGGGUGGGAGAGACAAGGCUGGAGUCAGGGAUACCAGCUGGGAGGCUGCUACAGUAACUCACUGCAGAACGACAGGGGCUUUGCAGGCCAGAAACAGGCUGAUGACAAAGCUGUUGGUCGUGGAUCUCAAAGAGCUUACGGUGCUAUGCCUGUUGCCCAAAGGGUGAUACCUCUGGACACCAGCCUCCCACCUUCUGGGUUCAGUGGGGGGAGUAGGUUUGCACUGGAGGCAACAUGGUACAGCUCAGUGCUUAACAAUUUCUACUUGGCUAUAAAACAACUUGUUAGAAUGAAACAUAAAUAUCUGAUACUGUGUGAGAAGCAGAGUAGUCUGUUCACCUGGGGUGUGUGUGUCUGCAUGUGCUUGUGCACACCUGUGUGAGAUGAGGUCCUGCUUCCUUGUUCACCUUAUUCCAUAGUUAAUGUGAGCACAGGCACAGUUCUGGUCCCAAUACUGCCACCGAUUCCUCUGGGACCCAGCUCAAACCUCUCAAUCCUGAGUUUUUUCACAAGCCCCACGAAGAGUCUGGACCUCAAAAUCUCUAAAAUCAACACCUACUUUGAAUUUCCAACUUUUUGGGGCCAGGGGAUGGUAAAAUAACGUUCUUGAUCUGAUGGCAGGGGUAAUCUGCAUUUUGAAGUUCAUGAUUCUCUGAACCAGGGCUUCUCCCUCAGUGGCCCUGGCUGAGGUUUGGGUGUGCCUCAGUCCCUGACCGCUGGGUGGGGCCUGGCUGUCAGAGCCUGGGGCUGCCGGCCGCCUCCUCCACACUGUGGCGUGCCUUUCCUUAGUGUGCCAUUAUGAUACAACAGGUAGGAUGGGAGAAACACAGGCAGCCACACGAGCCCAGAAUCUCCUUUGGCUUGUCACUUACACUCCCUCCUGUCUCUCAAGUGUCCACUAGCUUUGCUAAUGACCAAGCAAACGCCAACCCCCUUUCAACUGCAUCCCCUGGGGAGGCGAGCACGGCAGGUGACAAGUCGUAGGGCUGAAGGGGCAAUGGUGCUCUGAGCCUCAGCCUUGCUCUAUUGAUUACACCUCCCCCUCCAACAGCCCCAGACUCCCCCUCUCCCUCUAAAAGGCAUACUUUGGUCACAGUGGGAAAAAUACUUAGAGGGAGAAAUAUUCAGAAGGCAAAACACUGCUUUCCUUGAGAGGGAUGAACUCUGGGCCUCUAGCUCACAGAGAGAAGUUCUGAGGAAGACUCAAGAUGGCUCAGCUCACUUGAAGAGAAAAAACAGCACGAAGGGUUACAAAAGCAAGUCUCAGUGCUUGAGAUCAUCUGUUUGAGGAGGAGGGUUUGAGUCUAACUGCGUUUGGGUUUCUAGUUGCAGCGACACAAAAAACUAAGCAACCAAACCCUGGUGCUGACUUAUACCUGGGGAGUGCGUAGCACGGCCUGGGUCCUGUUCUCCUUCCUCAGACCUCAUCGGCACUGUGAUGACAGAUAUACUUCCUGGUAGCAGCAGCCAGCUCAUUAACUGGGGAGGCAGGUCCCCUCUGCUCUUCAUGUGCCGUGGCAUCAGCCUUGUAGCAGGACUGGGGAGCGUGCCUGCCCAGGCUUGCUGGGUGCCGUCUGCAUAUGGGAGCAUACACUGAUGCUGCAGCUCCAAGGGAGGGCACGCCGGCAGCCCCCUGGCCUCAGCUUUCAGAGGCUGAAGAGGCGUGGCCAGACACCACUGUACCAGAACGAACAUCCCAGGAGCUGUCUGCCAGAAAAAGGGAAGCAAGCAAAAUGGGCUGUGAUGCUCCCUGUGGAAGUGUUUUCUAAGAACAUCUGCCACAGUGACAGCCUUUUCCUGACUUCCAAUGGAAGGAUGUCUCUUUUCCAACAAAAAGUUAGGAGCAGAAUCCAACAAGUGGAAUGGUAUAUGUAUCCCAUAAUACUAAUGAAGGCCGGUGGAGGUGUUAAGUAGGCGUAUGAAGACCUGUAGAGUUCUUCCUUAGAAUCAUCCCUGUGCUAAUUAUAGUCUGAGAACUAUUCGACUCAAUAAACACUUAUCAAGUACCUACUGCACACACACAAAGGGCUGUGGGAGGCAGUAGAGCACAGUGGUAAGAAACAAAACAAAACUUUGGAAUCAGGUGGGCUAGGGCUUGUUUUCUGACUCUUCUACUAGCUCCCUGUGUGACCUCAACAAAGCUACAUAAACCUCUCUGGGCCCUGGUUUCCUCAUCUGUAAAAUGGGGGUAGUAAUAGUACGUACCUUACAGGGUUAUUGCAAGGAGGAUACUUAAAGGUUGUAGAAUACUGCCUGACUUUCAGUAAGUAUGCAGUAUUUGUUGGCUAUUAUUACUACAAUUUUUCUGUGCCAAAAUUUCCUUAUCUAUUAAAUGGGCAUAAUAUGCAAACCUACCUCAUAGGGCUGUGGUGAGGAUUAAUUAGAAUGAUGCAUGUAUGGUGUUUAGCAUAAUAACUUACACAUAGUAAGUGUGUAAUAAAUGCUUGUCAUUGUUAUUCCUAGAAGAUUUUCCCUAAAUUAUUUACAAAACAAGACACCAAGAUUUGAAUGAUGGUCCACACAACAAAGGAAUUUGGUCUCUGGACAGUUUCAGCAAGGUGCAUUCUGUGACACCACCCCUGUUGCCCCCCACCUCCACCCUACCCUGAGAGCCUGCUAUGUACGUACAAAACACUCUGCUUUGUGCUGAUUAAGCCCCACAGUGACUCUCCCAGGAGUUCCAAUAUCCCUCCAAAUAUUCUAGGCUUCCCUGAUACUGAUAUGCCAUCAUUUGCUGUUUAUGGGACUAUUUAAAAUUCUGGCUUUGUAAAGCAGGGAGCAAGGCGCAGAGGCUUUGAAGCCUGUCUGCUUGGCAGAGAACAGAAAAGCACCAGUUUAUGGUAUCAAAUACCAGGAGUAGCUCUCAUAGCUGCUAACCUGCUAGAGCUGUUCCUCCAUCCCGGCCAAAUGCUAAGCAUGUUAUAUGCAUGACAUCACUGACACAAGGGCCCUGGGAAGUUCCAGGCUGGUGUGAGCAGAGCUGUGGGCUGUAACCCAUAGAUGGCUCCAAAGUCCAUGCACACAAAUGCUAGAACAACUGCCUCCCUCCCCAAGGUGACCCCAAACUCAUUCAAGGGCACCUAGUUUCCAAUUACAAGAUCACUGUUGGUAGGGCAACCAGUUCAAUGCUUUUUGUUUUUCCUUUCUCCUAUAUUCGGUCAACUACGACACCUAGUGGCUGGUCAGGCACAAACAUGGGUCUCCUCAAAAAGGGUGGGUCACAUACAUAAUGCUCAGGACAGGAGAGACCCAAUAGAUCAUAUCCAAACUGAGGAGACAAAGAAAUGAAGCAAGUUGUCUAACCUUAAAGAGAGAAGGAAGCCAAUGUGGACCAGUGUGCCAAACAUGGACUUUACAGUUAGGACAUGGGUUCAGAUCCAGACUUUGUCUAAAAUUCUACCUUUAACAAGAUACUUUCUUCAAUCGAUAAUUCAGUGAACAUUGACUGUGCACCUACUAUGUGUCCCCAGAUGGUGGGGACAUGAUGAUAACCAAGGAGGACAAGUCUCUACCUUCAAAGUCCAAUAAGAGAGAAAAACAAUUAAACAGGCAAUCGACAAUAACACCACCAGCUAAUAUGAAUUACCUCAGUUACCCCCUUAUCCACAUGGGACAUGUUCCAAGACCUCCAGUAGAUGCCCGAAACCAUGGAUAGUCCCAAACCCUAUAUAUAUGUUUUUCCUAUCAUACAUACCUAUGAUCAACUUUACUUUAUAAAUUAGACACAGUAAGAGAUUGGCAACACUAACAAUAAAAGGGAACAAUUACAAGAAUAGAUGGUAAUAAAAGUUAUGUGAAUGUGGUAUCUCUCUCUGAAAAUAUCUCACUGUGCUGUACUCUCUCCCCUCUUCCUGUGGUGAUGUGAGAUGACAAAAAUGCCUAUAUGUUAAGACGAAGUGUGACUUAGGCACUGUGGGGUCAGACUGCUCCCGACCUUCUGAUGACAGGUCAGAAGGAGCAUCAUCUACCUCCAGAUGGCAGUUGACUGCAGGUAACUGAAGGUGCAGAAAACUACACCAACGAUAAAGGGGACUGUAAUGACUUCUCCGUUGCCAGAUACCGUGCCAGGAGCUUGAGGUCGCUACUCGUGUAGCCCUUCCAACAAUUACAUGGUGGGGGCGUGAUUAUUCCUCUUGCUGAAUAAUGAGUGGGAGAACAUUUAAAUCUCAGUAAUAAACUUAGAGCUCUUACUUUUCUAAGUUUCUGAAAACGAAGUUGUUGGACUAGAUACUAGAAGAUUUCUAAGGCCUUUUUCCAGCUUUUUCCUUACUUCUAGGAUUUUUGGGGUAUUGCUUGAACUAGAAACCAGGUCUCCUGACCAAGAAUCUACUGCUCUCUCUUCCUGCAUUUUGCCAGUCAAUGUUUAUUAAUAAUAACUGGUAGUUAUUAAAUGCUUACUCUAUGUUCUGAGGUUAUAUGCUCAUGGAAUCCUAACAACCUUUAUCUUUAAAAUGGAAAUAACAGCUGAGUAAAGAAUCAUGCUCUAAAAUGGUUAAACAAAAAAGUCCCAAGAUAAAUGGAAAAGCUUCCAACUUCCCCCAGUUGUAGGAUUCUUAGCUACUGCCUUGCCUCUAUUUGAUCUAGUUAUGUGGGGUCAUAACUAGAUUAAAAAUACUUAGCAUUGGUGUCCUCAGGCUCCCAUGACUGGAAUGGAAAAUGAUGCCAGGGCUGCAAGAUGAGUUACUGUCCAGGGAAAGUGGAAACACAUUUCUCAACAGCAAUGUAGCUUUGGGAUAACCCUGGGAUUCCAGAAACAGUGACAGAGUGCUGCAAGGCCAAGUGCCAAGCAGAGCUGACCCCUUGGUCUUAUUUAUAAUUACAGAUGAAUAUAGCAUGCUCCAGCACUGAAUACAUCAGAGAUUAGCAAACUCUCCAACAUGGUAUUGCCAUCACCCUUAAUUCUGUCCUCCCUGGGGGUAUCUAAGUAGCAUCUACUUUCCAUGGUGGGGCCAAUCAGGCCAACUUGCACAGUGAUUCUGCAAAUGGAAGCCACAAGUUCAUGGGAGCUUUCCUCCAGAGCCACAGGAAAAUGCCUCCUGCCUUCCUCUGACACCUGCGAAGCAGACCCUGCAGACCCUGGAGCUCCCCAGGUCUUACAAAGACCACCAGUUCCAGACACAGACUCAUAAAUACAGAGAACCAACUGGUGGUUGCCCGAUGGGAAAGGAGGUGGGGGGAAUAGGUGAAAUAGGUGAGGGGGAUCAAGAGGUCAAACUUCCAGUUCUAAAAUAAGUUAAGUCACGGGGAUGAAAGUAUAGCAUAAGGAAUACAGUCAAUAGCAUUGUAAGAUCUUGGUAUGGUAUACUUAUCACGAUGAACAUUUUAUAAUGUCAAAUCACUGUUAUAAAUCUGACACUAAUAUACUUUCAACUAUACUUCAGUAGGAAAAGAAAAGACUUUCCCCUUCCCAGAAGAGUCUCCAAAUGAUAAUCCAGGGGGCUACAGUGAGAGCAUAUGCUAGAUAUACUAGAAUGUAUUCAACCUAGAAUGCUCUGCUACCCUUCUCUGAAUGGCAAGAUCUCAUUUUCUAGGCCUAGAGGUCAAUGCCUGCCUACCUGACCACCACCCCUGCCCCAAGACAUGUCUGUCCCUCAUAGGAGCUGCUAUACUCCCAUAGGACCUACUAAAGGUUCAUAAUAAUGCAUUUGUUUACCUGUGGAUUGUGAACAUCUUUAGAAGACGGACUGAAUGGCUCAUCCAUCCUCUGUACUCAGUUCCAAACACCACGUAUGGAUUGCAAAGGUGCGGACUUCCACUUCUUUAGUGGAAAGUAAAUCAAGGAAUUCAAGGUUGGAAGAGGCUUAAGAGCUCAACUCAUUUACACUCUUGCCCAAUAUAGCAUUUCUCUAAAAAUAUCAUUAAAGAAAAACAAAAGUUUAAAAAAGGAUGUAUAUGUAUGUCUACAUACUUAUGAGGCAUCCUUCUACAAGAAUGGGCGGUAAAGACACAAAGAGCAGGAUUCACUUAAACCUUCUUUCUUUGAGAACGAGCCAUCAUCUUUCUAAAAAUUUUUUUCCUCCUAAUUUUUCAAGUUAGAGAAAAAUGUGUAAGAUAUACUAACAUGGAUAAUAGAAAACAAAAGUUAACACGUUGCUUUAUUUCCUUCUAGUAUUUUCCCCUUGAGUUUUUCAAAUAGCUAAAAAUACACUCUUAUCCAUGUUUUAUUUUGCUCUUUUUCAGCAAAGGCAUGUCCCUUGUGAUUACAAACUCUUCAAUAAGUAUCAUGCUUUAAAACUUUUAUUUUGAUAUCACUUCAGACGACUUAGAGAAAAGUUACAGGUAUCGUACAAAGAAUUCUGAUAUUCUUCACCUGGAUUUGGAGUUCUCAAAUAGCAACGUUUUACUGUAUUUAAUCCCUUCACUCCCCCCAGCAGAGAGUGAGAAAGAUACUGAGACAGACAGACAGAGGGAGGAGGAAAGGAGGGAGACAGAUAUGAUGUUUUCCCCUAAAUACUUCAGUGUGCAUUUCCUACAAGUAAGAACUUCUCUUAUGUAAGACACUACAAUCACUCAAAUCAGAAAACUAACAUUGAUGCAUUACUGUGAUCUAACCUACAGCCAUAUUCAGAUUUUCACAAUUGUCCCAAUAAUGUCCUUCUCAGCAAAAGAAAUCCAAAAUUCUACACUGUGUUUAAUUGUUGUAUCUCUUUAGUUUCCUUUAACCUGGGAUGGUUCCUGAGACUUUUUUUGUAUUUCAUGAUACUGAUUUUUUUUAAGAGUAAAGGACAGUUACUUUGUGGAAUGCCCCUCAGUUUGGGCUUGUCAGCUGUUUCUUCCUGAUCAGAUUCAGGUCAUGCACUACUGGCCCACAGAAGUAAACAGACAUGACUUCUAAUGAUCGUGGUAAGAUUCUGUUUUACAUAAGCACUCUCUUAUUGUAGAAUCUUGGGCCGUUUUAUAAUUUUGAUGUAAUGCUAAAAUAAAACUUUCUCUCUCCUCCUAUGGAUUACUUAUGAGCUUUUCUCCAUUUAUAUAUUAAUAAUUCAUUCAUAAAGUUAAAAUAAUAUUUUAAGGCUAUUGAUACAUCAGUAACUUUUUUUUAAAAAGCUCCUAUCAGUGUGCAGACCCAACUGAUACAACUGUCUAUUCCACUUCAGCUAAAUGGCCUUGUACACUGGCAUGUUACAGGUACAUUUUGAUUUGGAAAGACAAAAAAAUAUAUUUCAUUUCUGUGUCAGGAGACUUCAUCUUAAAGCAUGAUUACAAAAGAUAUUGUCCCUCUGGACACUGAAUAUGUUUGUUUAUUUGUUUUUGAGUUCCUUCAUUCAUUCAGCAAAUUUUCACUGAGUCUUGACUGUAUGCCAGUAUUCUUCUAGAUGUGGACAUGAAGCUCUCACAUAAAGACAAAAACAAGACAAUAUAGACUGUCUUAAGGGCUAUGAAAUACUCCGGUAACAAGAAUAGGCAUCCUUCAGAGAUAUUACAGAUUUGGUCCACCAUGAUAAAGUGAAUAUCUCAAUAAAGGGAGUCAAAUGAAUUUUUUGGUUUCCUACUAGCAUAUAAGAGUUAUGUUUACAUUAUACAAUUAAGUGUUCAGUAGUAUUAUGUCUAAAAAAAGUACAUACUUUGUUGCUAAAAAAUGCUGACCAUCACAUGAACUUUCAGAAAGCCAUAAUCUUUUCGCUGGUAGUGGGUCUUGACUUGAUAAUGAUGGCUGCUGACUGACCAGGGUGAUGGUUGCUAAAGGUUGGGGAAGCUGUGGCAAUUUCUAAAAAUAAGUAACAAUGAAGUGUGCCCCAUCAAUUGACUUCCUUUCACAAAUCAUUUCUCUGCAGAGUACAAUGCUGUUUGAUGGCAUUUUACCCACAGUAGAACUUUCAAAAUUGGAGUCAAUCUUCUGCUUUAUCAACCAAGUUUAUGUCAUACUCUAAACCCUUUGUUGCCAUUUCAACAAUCUUUACAGUAUCUUCACCAAGAGUAGAUUCCAUCUCAAGAAACCACUUUCUUUGCUCAUCCAUUAGAAGCAACUCCUCAUCCAUUCAAGUUUGAUCAUGAAAUUGCAGCGAUCCAGUCAUAUCUUCAGGCUCUACUAAUUCCAGCUCUCCUGCCAUCUCUGCCACACUUUCAGUUCCUUCCUCCACUAAAGUCAUGAACCCCUUAAAGUCAGCCAUGAGGGUUGGAAUCAAUUUCUUCUAAACUCUUGUUAAUGCUGAUAUUUUGACCUCUUCUCAUGAAUCACGAUGUUCUUAGUGGCAUUGAGAAUGGUGAAUCCUCUCCAGAAGGUUUUCAAUUGACUUUGACCAGAUCCAUCUGAGGACUCACUUUCUAUGGCUGCUAUGGCUUUAUGAAAUGCAUUUCAUAAUAAUAAGACUUAAAAGUUUAAAUGACCCCUUAAUCCAUGGGCUACAGAAUGGAUAUGGUGUUAGCAGGCAUGAAAACAACACGAAUCUCAUUGUCAGAGCUCUUGGGUGACUAGGUGCAUUAUAGUAAUGUAAAAUGUCUUAAAGGAAUUUCUUUUUCCUGAACAGGUCUCAACAGUGGGCUUAAAAUAUUCAGUAAAUGAUGUUGUAAACAGAUAUGCUGUCAUCCAGGCUUUGUUGUUCCAUUUAUAGAGCAAAGGCAGAAUAGAUUUAGCACAUAAAGGCUCUAUGAUUUCUGGAAUGGUAAAUGAACACUGGCUUCAACUUAAAGCCACCAGCUGCAUUAGCCCCUAACACAAGAGUCAGCUUGUCUUUUGAGGCUCUGAAACCAGACACUGACUUUUACUCCGUAGCUAUGAAAGUCCUAUGUGUAUCUUCUUCCCAAAGAAAGCUCUUUCAUCUACAUUUUACAUCUGUUGUUUGGUGUGGCCAUCUUCAUUCAUUAUCUUAGUUUUCAUCUUCUGGAUAAUUGGCUGUAGCUUCAACAUCAUCAUUUGCUGUUUCACCUUACACUGUUCUGUUGUGGAGAUGGUUUCUUUCCUUAAACCUCUUAAACCAACCACUGCUAGCUUCAAACUUUUCUUCUGCAGUUUCCUCACCUCUCUCAGCCUUGUAGAACUGAAGUGAGUUAGGGCCUUGCCUAGAAUAGGUUUUGGCUUAAGGGAAUAUUGUGGCUGGUUCGAUCUUCUAUCCAGACCACUAAAACUUUCUCCAUAUCAGCAAUAAGGCUGUUCUACUUUUUUUUUAAAUUUUUUAUCAUUUGUGUGUUCACUGGAGUAGCAUUUUUAAUUUCCUUCAAGAACUUGCCUUUAAAUUCACAACCUGACCAACAGUUUGGUGCAAGAGGCCUAGCUUUCAGCCUUUGGACAUGCCCUCCUCACUAAGCUUAAUCAUUUCUAGCUUUUGAUAUAAAGUGAGAGAUGUGUGGCCCUUCCUUUCACUUGAACACUUACAGGCCAUUGUAGGGUAAUUAAUUGACCUAAUUUCAAUAUUGUUGUAUUUCAGGGAAUAAGGAGGCCUGAGGAGAGGGAGAGAGAUGGGGGAAUGGCUAAUUGGUGGAACAGUUAGAACACACACAACAUUUAGAACCUCAUUACAAUUCUGGUGGGAUCCACCCUCUCUCAAGGGACACGUGGAGAAGCCCUGGCCAAAGAGACACUGCUUAUUGUCUAUUACUUAUUUCUGGCCAAGUUGAUAAAGGCAAAGAAUCCAAACUGGGCCAAUCCCUCCUUGGUACUAUUGUUAGAAUGAUAGCAAAAGAGGCAUUCUCUUUUCACUGAGAUCCGUAGUUGUGAGGAUGAUGGAAAUGUAUUGCUGAUGGCUACCUCUGGCAGCAUGGUGAGGGAGAGACUGCCUGUGAAUGAGGCCAACAGAGUUGAGCAGAGCCAAAAGAUGAAGAGUGAAAGAUAAUGGCCUGAUGAUAUCUCUUGAAUCCCUGGACACAGCUAUGCCUGAAGCUCAUGCAACAUGGAUAAAGAUAGUCAUGUAGAUCAAGAAACUAGUUUAAGUUGGGUUUCUGUUACUCAAAACAGAAAUAAUUUUGAUGAAUAAGCCCGAUGUAAAUGAAAUUAGAACCUAAAAGGAAAUCCCCAUUCAUGGGUAGUCUUUGUAUAAUUCUAGGCUCCUCCCUGACAAUGAUCUUGAGAAUUAAAACUUUUUCAUCCUGCAAAAAUUGUUUGCUUAACAUUACUCACUUAUCAUCCUCUGGAAAUAGCUCAUCUUUCCAAUGCUGCUACCAACCAGAUGCUGCUUCUUGCAAUAAAUAUGAAAGUUACCAACUGGAACAAGAGUCCCAGAAGUGGACAGCAGUAGCCCAGGUUAUACUUUGCUGCCAUCAGACAAGUACUUGGAGUCUGCUACUCCCUAUUUAGCUCACAAGCUUCUCAAACUACCUGUCUCUCAAAAGGUACUAAAUACUCCUGUAUCAGAACAGACCUAGAGCCAUGGGGCUCAGGCCAGAAGGAGGGACACAUGAGGAACAAGGGAAGAGGGCCACACAGGUCACUCACAGUGGAGUCAGUGUAAAUUCUGUGUAUCAAAAAGCCACUCUAUAGACUGAGUCAGGGUGAAGAAUGACUUAGGAGUGGGAAAAAAUAAUAUUCAGAGUAUUUUCAGGAAGUUGUUCAUUAUUUUUUUAUAACAGGGAUGGUAAGUAGAUUUCAACUUGUAUGCCCACUCUGAUCCACAGCCAAAUGCCCAGGCUCACAUCAAAAGCCAUGACUGUCUAUGAAGUCUAUCAUGUGGGGCAGGGGUGUGAACAUAGAUAUUUGUUAUUUCAGCUGAAACUGUUAAAUUUUAUGCUGCCAUUAAGCCAAGGCCAACAGAGAAAUGCAUACCCAAAAUGGAAGGGCUUUUCUUGGACUGCACUUGGGUGUUACAUCAUUCGCCUACCCGAGGGGAGUCCUCCUCAUUCUAUUUAUUAUAGGAUGUUUUUCGCUACCUUAUGUGGUAUUCUCUUCAUGAACACUCUGGAGAAAGUACUCGAAGUCUUGAAUCACGAUUAAACUUAUUUCUUCUCAGUAACUAGCAUGCUUCUAUCUCCCAGCCAUUGUGAACUACUGUGAACUGAAUACAUUUUCCUUCAGGUACUGACUGCUCAGAAAGAAGCUCAGUGCAAGACUAUGGGACCUGCUGGCGACUGUAUGGGGCCCUCACUAUGCCCUAGGGGCCCAACCUCAUCUCUGACUUCACCUUACUUUUCCUUACCCAUACAUUUCCUUCCUUUCCUGUUUUUCUAAAUCUAAUUAUUUUAUUUGUGAUUUAAAAGCCACCUCAAAAAUCUUUGAAAAAAGAUAGGCACAUAUUCUAGAUCAACAGCAAUCAAAAUAAUGUAAAGCAAAUUGGUUGGUGGAUGAAAGACAAUUUUACAAAUGCUGCCUGUUCUGGUGGCCAUCGUGGGGAAGCUCCAAGUGAGCACGUUGAGAAGGUGGUGUCCCCGGACCAGGAAUAGCCCGGGCUACACUGUCAGGUCAGCAGAUCUCUCAGUUCCCCCCCAACCAUCCUGGCCUCCUUGCAUCAACUCCCAGGCCCAUCCUUUCUGGGCAGCUGGGUGACCAGAGGGCACCAAUCCUGCCACAAAUCAAAGUAGCUCAUACUCCUACAGGACCUUAUACUUGACACUGAUAAGUUCUCAGUGGCUGAUAGCAACUUAUUUCUUCUCUCAGGGAUGAGUACAUUUUAACUAGGUAUUUUGAAGAGGAAAAAAACCCAAAGGAUUAAUUUCACUAAAGGUGUAGUUACCAUACAAAUGCAGUGAAGAGGAAGAGCUUCUUGUGAAUCUGAAAUAAUUUUAUGUAAAGUGGUUGGCACAAUGCCUGACACACAGUCAGCAUUCAAUAAAUAGUAGACACUAACUAUGACUACUGUUGCUGUUAUUAUUUAUCCCACCAUUGCUCCCACUCGAUUACUUACUACCAUGACCACCACCACAGAGGUAACUGCCUCUUUCCUAACACUGGCUACCAGCAGAUCCAUAGUCAAUUAAUGCAUUUUAAUUAUAUUUUAUAAUUUAGAAAGCACUUGCACAUACAUCAUCCUUUUUAUCUUCUUUGGAAUCCUUGAGUUAAAUAUAACUUAUUUUAUUUAUUUUAUGUUUUACAGAUGAGAAAACUGAAGCUCAGAAAGGCUGAGUUUAUAAGGUCCCAGAGCCAGGAAGUAGCACAGCCAGGCUCAAACCCACGCCUCAUAUAAAUUUUGUAUUCUUUCCAUAACAGGUGGUUGCCAACUGCAUAGCAAUAGCAUCAGAAUCAUCUGAGUGCUUUAGGAUUCCUGUGAUCUACUCCAGACCUAAUGAGUGCACAGCCCAAGGGAAGGGACUCUGAGCUUAUGUUCCAAGAGAUGCCUUGUGAGAUCCCCACGAGCUUCUGGUGGUGACCAAGUGUCAUGUCCAUGAUGCUUCCUGGUUGACUGAGUACCUGCCAGUCUCCCGGCCCUGUGUUGAGGACUGUAAGGGAGGCAUAGGUAGCCUUCUGCUCUCAAAGCACUGACAGAGCAACAGGGGAAGUAAGACUAGCCAAGGUGAAGAAGAAGAACCCACAGAAGACAGUGUUUGGCUGUGAAGAGGUCCAGAGCAGUAGAUCACAGAUGGCAGGAAUGGGCAGGGAAGGCCAUGUUAUGGAGAAGGGAAGAUUUACUGAACUCUGUGAAACGGGGAAGAUUCCCAAGCAGAGAAGGAGGUGAGCAGCAUGAGAUGUCCUCAAAAGAAAUGGCAAUGAGGCCAGUGCGUGGCCAGGUUAAAGGGACUAGUGGGAGUGAGCAAGAGAGGAUGAAGCCUGAUAUGGAAACGGAGAAGCCAGAGAGACCAGUCUAGACUGGUGUGCUGGGGCACAUGGAGCCACUGACAGUCUUUGAACAAAGGAGUAACAUCCUGAAAGACGACCUGAGGAUGACUAGUGUGGCAGUGCUCUGUAAAAUGAAAGGGGACCUGGAGAAUGGAAAAUCUGGUAUUGGCAAGACCGCCUAGGAACCUGCUGAACUGGUUGAAAUUCCAGAUGGAAAACAGUAAGACCAGGAUCCUAGGACCUGCCAAUCGGAAUGGGGUGAGAGGAUGAACCAUGAUGUGGGCAUGUGACCUGAGUCCUCUCACUCUCUGGCUCUUUUCAUUCCAUCACAGCUGUCUGUAUGUGUCUCAUAAACACUGUAUGGUUAGACUGCAGAA